rnacentral:rRNA from 1 species
UACGGAGGGUGCGAGCGUUGUCCGGAAUCACUGGGCGUAAAGGGCGCGUAGGCGGCCCGGCAAGUCAACGGUGAAAGCUUGGGGCUCAACCCCGAGUCGGCCGUCGAUACUUCCGGGCUGGAGCACUGUAGAGGCAGGUGGAAUUCCGGGUGUAGCGGUGGAAUGCGUAGAUAUCGGGAGGAACACCAGUGGCGAAGGCGGCUUCCUGGACCGGUUCUGACACUGAGGAGCGAAAGCGUGGGGAGCGAUCCGG